CCCAUUCAUUUUAAUAUGUGAAGAUGAAGAGUCCUUCUUAAUGAAGACUCUUAUCUUAAUGUGUUGCCUUUAUUUCUCAACCUGAUCUCCUUUGAUUUGUCACCAAAAUUAAUUGGGAUCCUUCUAUGUAAGGCUCUCUUGCACCAUAAUUCUACACGGUAAAUUUAUUCACCGCAUGAGAAUUUGGAGCGCCAAAGGUUGGCGCCCCUU
rnacentral:lncRNA from 1 species